rnacentral:rRNA from 1 species
AUGACGGGUGGGCCGCCACUUCUUCUGGUCCCGCUCGUCGGCUGCUCCUAUUUUGUUUUCCUUUGCGAAAGCCCGUCGUCCAAUCCCCUCGCCCACAUGCCGCAACCCUCCCUUCCUCCUCCUCUCCCUCUCUCUCUAAGCGGCCGCCACAACACGAAGCCACAAACCCUAGCCCCCUCCUUCUCCCUUGCAUGUGUGCUCGUCGCCGCCUUCCCCCCUCUUCCCCAUCGUUGCGCCAAUGCCUCCACCGGCUACAAUGGAUCCAUGGCUGAUGGGUGGGUACGAGGCAGCGAAGGACGCCGUCCUCGACCCAUCGCUUAG